GAAGACUGAACCGUUUCCAGUAAGAGGUUUGUUUCGAAACAUUUCCGGGUUUUUUUUUUUUUUUUAAGUCUCUUUUCUCCUUUUCUGUUUUUCUCUCGGAAAUGCCCACUUCCGACUCAGUGGGAGGAAACAAGAGAACCUGGACGAAACCCACACGAACACAGGGAGAACAUACGAAACAGCACACAGACAGUAACCCAAGAUGAGGAUCAAACCCAGAAUCCUGGAACUGUGAGGUGCUGUGAGGUAAAUAAUUUUGGAAACUGCCGGCUCCCCCACUAAAGUCCUCUGUGACAGGCUCAAGACACCCCAAGACCCUGUGUAGAGUAAGCGGUACAGAAAAUGGAUGGAUAAUUUUGAAAACUAUAUUGAUUUUGCCCCACAUCACUAUUAUGGGCUUUAUUUUUUGUGGAUUUGUGACGUUGUUAAGUUUAUAAAGAUUACUACACUACAAAAUGCGGAAUGUUCAAGUGAGUGAACACUUUGCAAAAUUUAUAUGUUAUUGGUCACUAAACUGUUUGGGUUUUUUUUGGUCCAGCCCAUCUGUCAUUGGAUUAAGUGUAAUGUGGCUCAUUACCUAAAGUGGGUUUAACAUCCCUGAUUUAGAGUGCUCAAUGUAACUUGGCCAGGAUAGACCGUUGAGGGCGCUGUUUGAGAGGGUGCUUGGACCCCGUCACAUACAGUUAUAUUAUACUGAUGUUUAAAACCUUAUUUGUCUAAUAACUUGAUUGUUAAAAAUGCCUGUUGCUUUUUUUUUGUUUGUUUGUUUGUUUUUUAAAGUUUAUUUCCUCAUUUAAAACUCAAUAAAAAGGAAGUACAUGUAAUUUCAACUAACUCAUUGUAAUCAACCUGAGAAGGAUGCUUUUAACAACACAGACUGUUUCAAAUCUAUAUUCUAACACAGUGUCAUGAUUGUACAUGAUUUGGGUUCUGAAAAUGUGAACAUUUCAAGAAUUAAAAAAAUGUAGAAUGGCUUAAAUGUAUCUAUUUACCUCAAAAGGUGUGUGGGCUCACUGAUCUUUAAUGUUUGGGACUGAUUUAUUGGAUGAUGAGAAAUUGGAUGAAUCAUCUGCUGCCUACAUCUGGUGAACAGAGCUUUCAGUCAGGUCGUCUGUAAAAACUGUGGGAAAGUCCAAGAAAUACAAUCCAUAAGCCUCUACAACUGACAAAAAAAAAGGUUUAAUGGAUCACUAAAAUAUUUUAAAGAACCAGAAUUGAAAUUGACUUUAACAGUAUAAUGUAAAUCUUACAAAGCUGUGCUGUUUUUAGACAUGUAUUUAUCAAAUUUUUAUAAAAGGUUUUGUGAGUAAUAUUUUGUGUGUCUGUGUGUGUGUGUGUGUAUGUGUGUUUUGGUGGGGGUGUAAGGUUGAAGAGGUCUAUUUGAGGGCAUUCCUCAUAUCACUGCUCAUUUCCUGAUAGCACCGUGAUGACUUUGGCCUGCGUGUUGUGAUAGGUCAGCAGAACCGAACGCAACCUUCAUGAGAUUGUUUUUCAUGUCCCAUACAAACUUAAACAAAACCAGUGGUUAACCUGAUCAAUCUCUCACUGAUGGGCUGUGACAGGAUCCCACGUCAGGUUACACAGUUGGUAAACAUUAGAUUUUAUCAAGAUGUGUAACUAAAUACCUAAGUAAGGACACAAUUUUAUUUUUACGACUUGUAAAUAUGUUGGAUAGACAACAUGGGGCAAAAAAAAACCCCUACGAAAUCCUAAUCCUUUAGAAAUCCUUUACAAUGUUGUGCACAUAAAUUGAUAAUCAGUAAUAUGAAUAAUGGUUUUCACACACAGGAAAAUUUGCGGAAAGAUAUUUUGGUCAACCAUAAACCAUGCAGUAGGGUUAAUUGACCAUUUGGGAUCCUUUACCACACUAAUGAAGUGGGGAGAAGUAGGCUUAUUUAUGUUAAAGUUGGCUCUGCUACAUUCUUUGGCCCCUUCAUCAGCGCUUGUGAAGCUGUGAUUAUUUCAGGGUCCUCUUAGGUAAAGUCGCUUUACGGAGGGGUUAACACAUCUGGAAUCAAUAGCAAUGGGCUGAGUAACUAGAGGUUUUUGGGGGGGAGAAGGGUCUACAGGUUAGGCUAGUUACAGCUUUGGCCCUGAGGGUCUGUAUGUCCCUGACUUCAAAAUAGACUUGAUUGCUCCCAGCUGGCAGCUCUAACUCACCCGGUGUCAGAGCUCUCCUCUGAUGUCAACCUUGUCAGUAUCAAGGCUAGACAGGACAAUGUAGAGCCAGAAACAAAGCAUAUGGGCAGAGAUACGUUUUCUGGCUGCAUUAUAUUAUUUGUGGGAAAACUGCAGAGUUGGACGCUGUAUCAGUCCCCUUCCUUUGGUGAAAAUGAUAGCAUAACUCUCAGAGUCUAGAUUUGCAAACAGCUAGUCUGAAUGACAAUCUAUGUAUACAAACACUGUCAUUACAUAUUACAGAAGACAAUGAAACAAAGCUGAUAACAGUUCAUACAGGAUUUCGUGGAGUUUUUUGUUUUUAUUGUUACGGCCAAAAAUGUUUGAAUUUGCUUUGGCUUUUUACAAAAACUUUUUUUGAAAGUUUUUGUGUUUUUUUUUUUUUGCAAAAAAAAAAAACUACUUGAAUGAUCAAAAUUGCAAUUGCACAAAAUAGUUUUGCACGGACUUUCGCAGUGAUGUUUGUUGGUAAAUGAGACUUUUAGCUGUACUCAUGUUCAACAUGCGAUAAGCAUAGAUACAUUAAAUGUCUCUCUUUCAAUAAAAUUGAUCACAGUUAUUUAUACACCAAGAUGUUUCUUACCACAUAAUACAUAAAAAAAUUCUUCAGAUUGGACUUAUAGUACUUGUUGAGGAGGUAAUUCAGUAACACUUUCUAUGAAGUCCAUACGUAUAAUGACCUAUGAAUACAUUUAUAACUUGCUAUAAUGCAUCCAUAAGGUAUUAUAUACUGUACAUCUUUAACAUUAUUUAUGAAAUGGCUUUACAGUUGAUAGUACUGUUAUUUUUAAAUUGCUAUCAGAAUGCAAUAUAAGCAGUGUUUAUAACAUGUUAUAUCACCAAUACCAAAUCAAUUCUGCCCCAGUUUAUUAAUGCAUUAUGCUUAGUCACAGACACAUGGACAAGUUCAUGGUUAUUGACAAGACGUUUGUAGUAUGAUUUUCUUUGAUAAUCUCUGAAGAAAUCAGGUCUCAUAAUGCACUGUACAAAGCUGCUUGGUUUCUCUGGAAGUGGUUUUAUAAUGUGUUAUGAACUGUACUUAUAUCAUGUUAACAUUUCAUCAUACAUAUUAUAGAUGGCUAUAAAGACUAAUGCCUUUUAUUAUCCACCUAACAAUGUGUAUAAUGCUUUAUGAAUGCUUUAUGGCAUGAUAUGAAUGUGUUUAUAUUUCAAUAUAAGUAUGACCUGUUACUGGUCAUUCUUUAGGAAUACAUUUUUAAGCACAUUUCCAUGGUUAUUAGAAAGAAAGAAAAAGCAUAUCUCAUGUGCUAAGAUCUAUUGAACUCUUGGUAAAAGACACUAAUUCAUUUGCUUAAUUAUUCAAAAAAGGCAUAUUGAAUUUAUUCUGCAAGUAGACUAUUAGAGAAUAUGUACAGCUUUAGUUAUAUAUAAAGAGUAAAUGAAAGGCUGCUAAGCCCAGGCUCUCUGUCAUCUCUCAUAAAAAGAAGUUAUAGUGAAAAGAAUUCACAGUGUAAUAGAGUAAUUACAGUGCAUUUUUGUUAGAGACAAAAUAACCUGAUUCAUUUAUGACUCCUGUUGUCUUUCUUUCCCUUUUCUGCUCUUGUAGUAUGCUUUUAAAUGCUGAUGAAAUUCCUUCCUUCAGCUUCAGUCAAUUUUGAUUUCAGCUGAAAAAUGCUGAGAGAUGCAAAAGGUCAAGUUCACGCUGUACAGGUCGGAUAUCCAUCAUAAUGCACUAGCACAAUUGUUACCAUGGCGAACCAGAUUACGGUGUAGCAGUAUUAUUAAAUAAAUUUAUAUUUAGAUUAAUGUAAUAGUAUUGUUUCAAGUUUUGGAAAUACAAAAGAAGGAAACCAGUUUAUGUCCUAAACCCAUGUAGAUUAAAAAAUCAUUUCAUCCUCCACUAUUAUUUUUGUGUUCAUUUUAUUAGAUAUAGGCAGCAAUAUGUGAAAAUAUAUGCAAAGAAUUAAAUAUCCCGAUUUUUCUGUCUCCUUGCUACCAACUUUUCAUUUUAAAAAAAGAUUUCUGUAUGACACAAAGUCAAUCUCAGUGGCCCUUCCUAAACCAUGAUGCUCAUUAAAACCUGUACAGAUUUACUCUCAGCUACUGUAAAAUAUUUUCAUUUUGAAAAUGUUGCUAAUAACAUGCCAGCAUCGUUAUCUAUUUAAAAUACACGCCAAUGAUUCGUUUAGUAUUAUGCAAUAUCUAAGUAAAAGCUAUGCCUCUCAAACUGAGACAAUUUUAACUAUAAAAUAAAUUCCAAGUACAAAUUUAUUAUCAUGAUCACUUAUUUAAAUGUGUACAAUGAUAUUUUUUAUAUUUAGGUUGCUAUUCCUGAUCUUUCCUCCAAAGAGGAACUAGUUCCAAGUUAUUUAUAGGCUGACUGACAUCUGGAUUCAAUCCAUUCAAGUUAAGUGAGCAGACAAACAGGCUACUAGCUAUAAAAACUCAAUAAAAAAAUACCUAACUUUGAUAAUGGUAGAUUGUAAUUUCCAGCGCUGUAAGUAACUACUGUAGGUUUUAAAAAAUCGCACACCCACUGGGUGUCCCAAGACCCCACUUUGAGAACCACAGGUCUAAAUCCUUCACUGCUACAGGAUAUGAUUUAUUUAUUUAUUUUUUUAACUCACCUAGCUCUAGG